GAUGAACGCUAGCGAUAGGCCUAACACAUGCAAGUCGAGGGGCAUCACAUGAAGUAGCAAUACGGAUGGUGGCGACCGGCGCACGGGUGAGUAACACGUAUGCAACCUGCCUUCAACAAGGGGAUAACCCGUUGAAAGACGGACUAAUACCCUAUAACACAGGGGUCCCGCAUGGGAAUAUUUGUUAAAGGACAACCGGUUGAAGAUGGGCAUGCGUUCCAUUAGCUAGUUGGCGGGGUAACGGCCCACCAAGGCAACGAUGGAUAGGGGAACUGAGAGGUUUAUCCCCCACACUGGUACUGAGACACGGACCAGACUCCUACGGGAGCAGCAGUGAGGAAUAUUGGUCAAUGGACGCAAGUCUGAACCAGCCACGUCGCGUGAAGGAAGACGGCCCUACGGGUUGUAAACUUCUUUUAUACGGGAAUAAAGUGCCCCACGCGUGGGGUUUUGCAUGUACCGUAUGAAUAAGGAUCGGCUAACUCCGUGCCAGCAGCCGCGGUAAUU
rnacentral:rRNA from 1 species